rnacentral:siRNA from 1 species
UGGACGUCUGGACUCAUAUUCCAC